rnacentral:rRNA from 1 species
CCGGUGGAUCACGUGGCUAGUGUGUCGAUGAAGAGCGCAGCCAACUGUGUGAAUUAAUGUGAAUCGCAGACUGCUUUGAACAUCGACCUCUUGAACGCACAUUGCGGCCGUAGGCUUGCCUAUGGCCACGUCUGGCCGAGGGUCGGCUUAUAAACUAUCACGACGCGUAAAAAGUCGUGGCUUGGAAGGUUGCCGGCGGGCGUUAAACUCUUAUUCAGUUUGAGAGAAGCCUGACUGCGACGGCUCCUUCUUAAUGUGGCUUUUAAAAGCACCAGUUGCCUUGUUAACACGAAGCUUAUGGUAAUGUCUGUACAUGUAUGUGAGUGUAUAUGUAUAUAAGCCUUGCAUAGAUUGUGUGUGUGUGUAAAGUGCUGGCUAACAUUGGCCGUGGCUCAGUGUGUGUAUGUGUGUAUAGCACGCCUGUGUCCAGUACUAAUGCAAAGGUGAAUAUAUAUGUGUAUGCGAUUACCGUGAGUUUGAGUGUGAGGUAGCGAAGCCAAUAUAUACAUAUGGUGAGGACUUCUCUCCAUUGUCUGACCUCGGAUCAGUCGUGAUUACCCGCUGAACUUAAGCAUAUCACUAAGCGGAGGAAAAGAAACUACCAGGA